UCACAUCCAAAUUGAAAGCGCAACUCCACAUCUUGAGGAAACCCACUUGAGAGCGUAUUUGUGCUUUAUACGGUCGCAUGUAACCCCUAUGGGCCUUGGUUUGUUUGCUCUCUGGAUGUCCGCGGGUGGCGUCGGAGCUCAGGCUGAUGUGGGCACCGGUGGAGAGCAUGACUGCCGGCGGUCCAUUCAGAAAGACGGGAUGAAAAUGGAUGCCUUGGCCGGGUUCUCUUUAUAACGCUGUAAUACAUGGACACAUAAACUACCAAAAUGAGGAUUUUCGUGUGUCUCCUUAAGAAUACCAACCCUAAAAUCGAGUAUUACUCCAGAUUUUCACCGUCACCACUUUCAAUAAAGCAGUUUUUGGAUUUUGGCAGGGACAAUGCCUGUGAGAAAACUUCCUACAUGUUUUUGCGUAAGGAGCUGCCAGUCCGACUGGCCAACACAAUGCGAGAAGUCAACUUGCUGCCAGAAAGUCUCCUGAGUCAACCCUCCGUGCGACUGGUGCAGAAAUGGUACAUGCAGAGCUUUGUGGAGCUGUUGGACUAUGAGAACAGGAAACCAGAAGAUCCUCACGCAUUGAAUGAUUUUCUGGAGUUGCUGAUUGAAAUUCGUAAUCGCCACAAUGAUGUGGUCCCCACUAUGGCGCAGGGGGUAAUAGAGUACAAGGAGAAGUUUGGCUUUGACCCCUUCACCAGUACUAACAUCCAGUAUUUCCUCGACCGCUUCUACACCAAUCGCAUCUCCUUUCGCAUGCUCAUCAACCAACAUACUCUCUUGUUUGGUAAUGACACCAACCCUGCCCAUCCUAAACACAUUGGGAGUAUAGACCCUACCUGCUGUGUGGCAGAGGUUGUCCAUGAUGCUUAUGACACUGCCAAGAUGCUGUGUGAGAAAUACUACAUGGCAGCACCUAAACUCAAGAUCGAGGAGUUUAACAUGAAAGCUCCAAAAAAGUCAAUCCAAGUGGUGUACGUGCCCUCUCAUCUGUUCCACAUGCUUUUCGAGCUGUUUAAGAACUCAAUGAGAGCCACUGUGGAGCUUCACGAGCACAGUUCAGAGGGACUGCCACCAGUGAAGGCUAAAGUCACUCUGGGCCUGGAGGACCUAUCCAUAAAGAUCAGUGACAGAGGAGGAGGCGUUCCCCUGAGGAAAAUAGACCGUCUGUUUAACUACAUGUACUCCACUGCCCCAACACCAAGUCUAGAGCCUGGAGCUGUACCACUGGCUGGUUUUGGAUACGGUUUACCCAUUUCAAGGCUGUAUGCCCGAUACUUCCAGGGGGACCUGAAACUCUACUCUAUGGAGGGUGUCGGCACUGAUGCAGUAAUUUAUCUGAAGGCCCUGUCCAGUGAGUCCUUCGAGCGGCUCCCUGUCUUCAACAAGUCGGCAUGGCGACAUUACAAGACCAGCCCUGAAGCAGACGACUGGAGCAACCCCAGCAAAGAGCCUCGUGAUGCCAGCAAGUCCAAUUACAAAGCUAAUAGAUAACUGCCUGGCCUAUGCUAGCCUAGCUGCCCUUUCUCUGGCCAUGAAAAAUGCCUGCACUCUGCCUAAAGUAUGCAUGAUGUAAUAUGCCCUUGGGUGAAGUUGAUUUUGGUCCCAGGCACGCAGACAUUCAGACAAGAUGGUCAGUAUGGAUCUUUCUCUACCCAACGGCAUUAACUUAACAUCAGUCUGUCUUUUUGCCAUUGUAGCAUUACCUCUAGAGCUCCCAAGGUGGAUUUCAUAGCUCCUUCUGAAGUAAAACGACGUAUCUGUGAGGAGAUCUAACCACCUCUAGUUUGUGAUACACUGUAAGAUUUCACCACUGCCAUUGCCUUCAACAUCUGCCAUACUGUAUACUCCUCACAAAGAGAUACUAACUAGAGCUGUAUGUAGGCUAACUAGUACGUUCAAAAAAUGCCUCAUUCAGUUGCUUCAUUUGCUAAUAAUAGGCCUGUCACAAUAACAAAUUUUGAAGUACGGUAUAUUGCUUAAAGAUGCUCUGCGUAACAUUUCUAUUGGAGAGUCUGCCACCUGCUUAUCUCCAUGGAAAUGUUAUUGCUUUUUCUAGAAUGUUCCACAGUAUAGAUUAAACCCUUCUACUGCAAGGGAGACAAGCAGGUUACAGCACUAUGGUACAUCAUAAUUCAGAUUUAUGGAGAGUCGCCUCUAUUCACAGAGAGAAUUGUUGUAUUUUUUAGGAAUAGAAACAUACAUGACUAAAUAUUUGAUGUAUAUGUUUAUUGUCAUGCCAUGGAACAUUCCAGGCAAAGCCAUACCAUCUUCUUGAAGACAAGUAGGCGGCGGACCCUCCACCAAAAAAUAUUCCAAAUAUGUUUAAAAAAAUAAAAAUAAAAAAACUAAUAGCAAUACAUAAAUGACAAAAUGAAACACUUAAGUAGUUAGGCUAUAUCAUUAAUGAAUCAUAGAAGUUUUUUUAUUUAACCCUAAAGCUCAAAUCUAACAACAGAACAGGAAAAAUAACGUAAGUUCCCCUUUAAUACUAAGAAAAAGUAGCAACGAUAAAUGGGACUAAGGAUGAAUAUUAGCUUUGGCUACAAUCCUGCAUAUUUACAAGUACAUGUUUGUCUCUUGAAUUAUCUUGUCUUUUAAUAUGCAUUGCCCCUUUAAUAAAUAAAUACUAAUACAAAUAUUAACCCCCCCAAAUUAUUGUUCUAUCAUAAUAGCAUAUAUUGAACGAUAAGUCGAUAUAGUAAUUAUCGUGACAGGCCUAUCUAAUAAUAAUAAUGACAUCGCAAUGACUGUAAUACACAUGUACCACAGUGAUUUUUUUGACCUCAAGUUGUUGUGUUAGAGGCAGCCUAUUUAUAAUGUAUUUUAGAGAUAUAAAAUGUAUAUAUACAUUUUUGUGAAUUGUACAUGCAGCCAGUGUGGAGUGUUAUAGAUACAACUAAACUGCAGCUACUAACUGUCUGUAAGUGUCUUUGCAUGACCUUCCCAAUGUAUAGGUCACUGUGCAAAGAUAUGCAACCAUAAUACAAAUGCUGUUUUGUCAAUCACCAGAUCAAUAUAUACUGUUGUCACUGGUCAAUAAAGAAAUGGUUGUGAUCUGUCA